AUUGAACGCUGGCGGCAGGCCUAACACAUGCAAGUCGAGCGGAUGAAGGGAGCUUGCUCCUGGAUUCAGCGGCGGACGGGUGAGUAAUGCCUAGGAAUCUGCCUGGUAGUGGGGGAUAACGUCCGGAAACGGGCGCUAAUACCACAUACGUCCUGAGGGAGAAAGUGGGGGAUCUUCGGACCUCACGCUAUCAGAUGAGCCUAGGUCGGAUUAGCUAGUUGGUGGGGUAAAGGCCUACCAAGGCGACGAUCCGUAACUGGUCUGAGAGGAUGAUCAGACACACUGGAACUGAGACACGGUCCAGACUCCUACGGGAGGCAGCAGUGGGGAAUAUUGGACAAUGGGCGAAAGCCUGAUCCAGCCAUGCCGCGUGUGUGAAGAAGGUCUUCGGAUUGUAAAGCACUUUAAGUUGGGAGGAAGGGCAGUAAGUUAAUACCUUGCUGUUUUGACGUUACCAACAGAAUAAGCACCGGCUAACUUCGUG
rnacentral:rRNA from 1 species